rnacentral:rRNA from 1 species
GACGAACGCUGGCGGCGCGCUUAACACAUGCAAGUCGAGCGAAGCGGCGGAAGGGUGAGAAACACGUGAGUAACCUGGCUUAGACAUUGGGAUAGUCUCGGGAAACCGGGAUUAAUAACAAAUGGUCUAAGAUGGACUCGCGUCCCAUUAGCUAUGUGGUGAGGUAAAGGCCCACCAAGGCGACGCUGGGUAGCCGGCCUGAGAGGGUGAGCGGCCACUGUGGACCUGGGAAACGGUCCAAACGCGACGGGAGGCAGGAGUUGGGAAUAUUGCACAAUGGAGGGAACUCUGAUGCAGCGACGCCGCGUGAACUAAGAAGGCUUUCGAGUCGUAAAGUUCUUUUAUAUGGGAAGCGGUACCAUAAGAAAAAGCCCCGGCUAACUACGUGCCAGCAGCCGCGGUAAUAC